rnacentral:rRNA from 1 species
CCUACGGGAGGCAGCAGUGGGGAAUAUUGGGCAAUGGGCGCAAGCCUGACCCAGCAACGCCGCGUGAAGGAAGAAGGCUUUCGGGUUGUAAACUUCUUUUGUCAGGGACGAAGCAAGUGACGGUACCUGACGAAUAAGCCACUGCUAACUUCGGGCCAGCAGCCGCGGUAAUACGUAGGGGGCAAGCGUUAUCCGGAUUUAUUGGGUGUAAAGGGCGUGUAGGCGGGAAUGCAAGUCAGAUGUGAAAACUAUGGGCUCAACCCAUAGCCUGCAUUUGAAACUGUAUUUCUUGAGUGCUGGAGAGGCAAUCGGAAGUCCGUGUGUAGCGGUGAAAUGCGUAGAUAUACGGAGGAACACCAGUGGCGAAGGCGGAUUGCUGGACAGUAACUGACGCUGAGGCGCGAAAGCGUGGGGAGCAAACAGGAUUAGAUACCCGAGUAGUC